UCUCAUUUUAACCAUAAGUUUCUGUAUCUAAUUUUGAUUAUUCGUCAUAUUUUUCUUUAAUUAGUAUUUUUGUUAGUGCUUUAUGUGUGACUUAUGUUUUUAAUAUUUUUUAAAUAAAACGGACGAUUAAAGUUUGGCACGAAAAAUUAUGGCUGCACUUAAA
rnacentral:pre_miRNA from 1 species